GAUGAAGAACGCAGCGAAAUGCGAUACUUGGUGUGAAUUGCAGAAUCCCGUGAACCAUCGAGUCUUUGAACGCAAGUUGCGCCCGAAGCCAUUAGGCCGAGGGCACGCCUGCCUGGGCGUCACACGUCGUCGCCCCCCCAUCUACUCCUUCGGGAUUGCGGGGGGCGGAUGAUGGCCUCCCGUGCGCCUCGUCGCGCGGUUGGCCUAAAUGCCAAGUCCUCGGCGACGCACGCCACGACAAUCGGUGGUUGCGAAACCUCGGUUGCCUGUCGUGUGCGGUCGUCGCGCAUCGAGGGCUCGAAAAAAUUGCCGGGCUCCGGCUCGGCUUUCAACGCGACCCCAGGUCAGGCGGGGUUACCCGCUGAAUUUAAGCAUAUCAAUAAGCGGAGGA
rnacentral:misc_RNA from 1 species